rnacentral:rRNA from 1 species
GACGAACGCUGGCGGCGUGCUUAACACAUGCAAGUCGAACGGAAAGGCCCUGCUUGCAGGGUGCUCGAGUGGCGAACGGGUGAGUAACACGUGGGUGAUCUGCCCCUUACUUUGGGAUAAGCCUGGGAAACUAGGUCUAAUACUGGAUAGGACCAUGCUGUAGGUGGUGUGGUGGAAAGAUUAGUUUCGGUAAGGGAUGAGCUCGCGGCCUAUCAGCUUGUUGGUGGGGUAAUGGCCUACCAAGGCGUCGACGGGUAGCCGGCCUGAGAGGGUGGACGGCCACAUUGGGACUGAGAUACGGCCCAGACUCCUACGGGAGGCAGCAGUGGGGAAUAUUGCACAAUGGGCGCAAGCCUGAUGCAGCGACGCCGCGUGGGGGAUGACGGCCUUCGGGUUGUAAACUCCUUUCAGCCAUGACGAAGCCCUUGUGGUGACGGUAGUGGGAGAAGAAGCACCGGCUAACUACGUG